AUUGAACGCUGGCGGCAGGCCUAACACAUGCAAGUCGAACGAGCGGCGGACGGGUGAGGAAUGUCUGGGCAACUGCCUGAUGGAGGGGGAUAACUACUGGCAACGGUAGCUAAUACCGCAUACCAUCGGAUGUACCCAUAUGGGAUUAGCUUGUAGGUGUGGUAACGGCUCACCUAGGCGACGAUCCCUAGCUGGUCUGAGAGGAUGAUCAGCCACACUGGAACUGAGACACGGCCCAGACUCCUACGGGAGGCAGCAGUGGGGAAUAUUGCACAAGGGGCGCAAGCGUGAUGCAGCCAUGCCGCGUGUAUGAAGAAGGCCUUCGGGUUGUAAAGUACUUUCAGUGGGGAGGCGUUACCGACAGAAGAAGCACCGGCUAACUCCGUGCCAGCAGCCGCGGUAAUUC
rnacentral:rRNA from 1 species